rnacentral:sRNA from 1 species
CCUUCAAAUUCUCAUUUUAUUGCCUGGACUGGUCGAGGCAUGGAAUUUAAACUGAUUGAGCCUGAAGAGGUGGCCCGACGUUGGGGCAUUCAGAAAAACAGGCCAGCUAUGAACUAUGACAAACUUAGCCGUUCACUCCGCUAUUACUAUGAGAAAGGAAUUAUGCAAAAGGUGAGCAGCUAAUACAGCAUUAAAAUUCAUUGAAAUGUUGCACAUUAAUCUGAACGUCAUACUUUAAACGCCACAUAUCAUUGCAUUGCUGAAGCAAGGUUUUCACUCAUUUUAACAAAUGCUUAGCUCUUGGUUUUGGUAUUACAAGCCUUUCUAUGUAUAAAUGCAUAGACAUUGUAGACAAAUGUGUAGUGAUAUUGUAUACAGAAUAGUAGGCUUUCUAGAAGGUCCUACUUUGCUGCACAUGGUUAAAAAAGAUUGUUUCAGUAUUAAUAUCACAUCUAUCUUCAGAAAUUUUUAUUGCAUGUUGUCUACAAUUAUAUAAUUUUGAAAUGCUUUUGUUUAUAGCAAUAAAGAAUCUUUAC